rnacentral:rRNA from 1 species
GGUUAAGCGACUAAGCGUACACGGUGGAUGCCCUGGCAGUCAGAGGCGAUGAAGGACGUGCUAAUCUGCGAUAAGCGCCGGUAAGGUGAUAUGAACCGUUAUAACCGGCGAUUUCCGAAUGGGGAAACCCAGUGUGAUUCGUCACACUAUCAUUAACUGAAUCCAUAGGUUAAUGAGGCGAACCGGGGGAACUGAAACAUCUAAGUACCCCGAGGAAAAGAAAUCAACCGAGAUUCCCCCAGUAGCGGCGAGCGAACGGGGAGGAGCCCAGAGCCUGAAUCAGCAUGUGUGUUAGUGGAAGCGUCUGGAAAGGCGCGCGAUACAGGGUGACAGCCCCGUACACAAAAGCGCAUGUGCUGUGAGCUCGAUGAGUAGGGCGGGACACGUGGUAUCCUGUCUGAAUAUGGGGGGACCAUCCUCCAAGGCUAAAUACUCCUGACUGACCGAUAGUGAACCAGUACCGUGAGGGAAAGGCGAAAAGAACCCCGGCGAGGGGAGUGAAAAAGAACCUGAAACCGUGUACGUACAAGCAGUGGGAGCACAGGUUUACCUGUGUGACUGCGUACCUUUUGUAUAAUGGGUCAGCGACUUAUAUUCUGUAGCAAGGUUAACCGUAUAGGGGAGCCGGAGGGAAACCGAGUCUUAAUUGGGCGUUAAGUUGCAGGGUAUAGACCCGAAACCCGGUGAUCUAGCCAUGGGCAGGUUGAAGGUUGGGUAACACUAACUGGAGGACCGAACCGACUAAUGUUGAAAAAUUAGCGGAUGACCUGUGGCUGGGGGUGAAAGGCCAAUCAAACCGGGAGAUAGCUGGUUCUCCCCGAAAGCUAUUUAGGUAGCGCCUCGUGAAUUCAUCUCCGGGGGUAGAGCACUGUUUCGGCUAGGGGGCCAUCCCGGCUUACCAACCCGAUGCAAACUGCGAAUACCGGAGAAUGUUAUCACGGGAGACACACGGCGGGUGCUAACGUCCGUCGUGAAGAGGGAAACAACCCAGACCGCCAGCUAAGGUCCCAAAGUCAUGGUUAAGUGGGAAACGAUGUGGGAAGGCCCAGACAGCCAGGAUGUUGGCUUAGAAGCAGCCAUCAUUUAAAGAAAGCGUAAUAGCUCACUGGUCGAGUCGGCCUGCGCGGAAGAUGUAACGGGGCUAAACCAUGCACCGAAGCUGCGGCAGCGAACGUAUCACCCAAGACAACUUUACGGAGUUGACGAUUGACGGAGCGAAGCGACGUCAAAGCGUUCAUUAAAGUCGAGUUGGCUUAGGGAUACGUUCGUUGGGUAGGGGAGCGUUCUGUAAGCCUGUGAAGGUGUGUCGUGAGGCAUGCUGGAGGUAUCAGAAGUGCGAAUGCUGACAUAAGUAACGAUAAAGCGGGUGAAAAGCCCGCUCGCCGGAAGACCAAGGGUUCCUGUCCAACGUUAAUCGGGGCAGGGUGAGUCGACCCCUAAGGCGAGGCCGAAAGGCGUAGUCGAUGGGAAACGGGUUAAUAUUCCCGUACUUGGUGUUACUGCGAAGGGGGGACGGAGAAGGCUAUGUUGGCCGGGCGACGGUUGUCCCGGUUUAAGCGUGUAGGUGUGUGUUCCAGGUAAAUCCGGUUCACUUUAACACUGAGGCGUGACGACGAGGCACUACGGUGCUGAAGCAACAAAUGCCCUGCUUCCAGGAAAAGCCUCUAAGCAUCAGGUAACAUCAAAUCGUACCCCAAACCGACACAGGUGGUCAGGUAGAGAAUACCAAGGCGCUUGAGAGAACUCGGGUGAAGGAACUAGGCAAAAUGGUGCCGUAACUUCGGGAGAAGGCACGCUGACACGUAGGUGAAGUGAUUUACUCACGGAGCUGAAGUCAGUCGAAGAUACCAGCUGGCUGCAACUGUUUAUUAAAAACACAGCACUGUGCAAACACGAAAGUGGACGUAUACGGUGUGACGCCUGCCCGGUGCCGGAAGGUUAAUUGAUGGGGUCAGCGCAAGCGAAGCUCCUGAUCGAAGCCCCGGUAAACGGCGGCCGUAACUAUAACGGUCCUAAGGUAGCGAAAUUCCUUGUCGGGUAAGUUCCGACCUGCACGAAUGGCGUAAUGAUGGCCAGGCUGUCUCCACCCGAGACUCAGUGAAAUUGAACUCGCUGUGAAGAUGCAGUGUACCCGCGGCAAGACGGAAAGACCCCGUGAACCUUUACUAUAGCUUGACACUGAACAUUGAGCCUUGAUGUGUAGGAUAGGUGGGAGGCUUUGAAGUGUGGACGCCAGUCUGCAUGGAGCCGACCUUGAAAUACCACCCUUUAAUGUUUGAUGUUCUAACGUGGACCCGUAAUCCGGGUUGCGGACAGUGUCUGGUGGGUAGUUUGACUGGGGCGGUCUCCUCCUAAAGAGUAACGGAGGAGCACGAAGGUUGGCUAAUCCUGGUCGGACAUCAGGAGGUUAGUGCAAUGGCAUAAGCCAGCUUGACUGCGAGCGUGACGGCGCGAGCAGGUGCGAAAGCAGGUCAUAGUGAUCCGGUGGUUCUGAAUGGAAGGGCCAUCGCUCAACGGAUAAAAGGUACUCCGGGGAUAACAGGCUGAUACCGCCCAAGAGUUCAUAUCGACGGCGGUGUUUGGCACCUCGAUGUCGGCUCAUCACAUCCUGGGGCUGAAGUAGGUCCCAAGGGUAUGGCUGUUCGCCAUUUAAAGUGGUACGCGAGCUGGGUUUAGAACGUCGUGAGACAGUUCGGUCCCUAUCUGCCGUGGGCGCUGGAGAACUGAGGGGGGCUGCUCCUAGUACGAGAGGACCGGAGUGGACGCAUCACUGGUGUUCGGGUUGUCAUGCCAAUGGCACUGCCCGGUAGCUAAAUGCGGAAGAGAUAAGUGCUGAAAGCAUCUAAGCACGAAACUUGCCCCGAGAUGAGUUCUCCCUGAGACUUAGAGUCUCCUGAAGGAACGUUGAAGACGACGACGUUGAUAGGCCGGGUGUGUAAGCGCAGCGAUGCGUUGAGCUAACCGGUACUAAUGAACCGUGAGGCUUAACCUU